rnacentral:rRNA from 1 species
UACGUAGGGUGCGAGCGUUGUCCGGAAUUAUUGGGCGUAAAGGGCUCGUAGGCGGUCUGUCGCGUCGGGAGUGAAAACUCAGGGCUUAACCCUGAGCCUGCUUCCGAUACGGGCAGACUAGAGGUAUGCAGGGGAGAACGGAAUUCCUGGUGUAGCGGUGAAAUGCGUAGAUAUCUGGAGGAACACCGGUGGCGAAGGCGGCAUCCUGGACCGGCAUUGACGCUGAGACGCGAAAGCGUGGGGAGCGAACAGG